AAUAACUAGAACCAUUUAAUAAUGACAUAACUAGCAAAACUUUAGAAGUAUCUGAUGCAAAAAAAAGAAGGAAAUUUAGAGCUUUAAAUGCUUAUGUUAUAGGAGAAAAAUGAAAAUUAAGAAACUAAAGUAGGAAUAAAUAAUAAAGAUGAAAGUAUAUAAUUAAUGGAAGAAUAGAAGGCAUACAAUGGAAGUGCCACACAAAGCCAGAAGUCGAUUUUUUUUAAAAAGACCAGGAGAUGGGGUUGUGGCUCAGUGGUAGCACACAUGGCUGGCAUGUGUGAGGCCCUGAAUUCGAUCCUCAGCACUGCAUAUAAAUAAAUAAGUAAUAAUUGACAACCAAAAAUUGGAGAAAAAAAAAAAAAACCUGUCUAACUUCUUAUAAAUUGGAGGGAGAAAAAAACUAUGGAAACUGAAGAGAUUAUAGAAUUAACAAUUCUGAGCAAUUUUAUCCCCAAAAUUUUGAAGAUUUGGGUCAACAUAGAUAACUUUCUAAGAAAACACAAAUUAGCAAAAUUGACUCAAUGAAAAAUAGAAGCCAAACAUGGUGGCACACAUCUGUAAUCCCAACAAUUUGGGAGGCUGAGGCAGGAAGAUCAUAAAUUCAAAGCCAACAUUAGCAAUUUAGCAAGGCCCUAAGCAACUCAACAAAGACUCUAUCUUGAAAUUAAAAAUAAAAAGGAAUGGGGAUGUGGCUCAGUGGCUGAGUACCCCUGGGUUCAAUCCCUAGUACCAAAAAACUACAAGAAAGAAAGAAAAAUAGAAAACUUAUUCUGUCCUUGAGCCAUUCAAAAGUGAAACAGUAGGAGGAAAGAUAAAUGGACAGACAGACCCAGACAAGCAAAGAUAGGACAAGAAAGGAAAUUACAAGCCAUUCUUAUUCAGUGAUCUUGAACAAAAUGUUUAAGCAAAUCCAGCAAAUUUGUGAAAAAAGGUAAUAAACAUGAUUAAGUUGAAUUUAUUUCAAGAAUGUAAGGUUGAGUGCAACAUUGCAAAUCUUUUCAUAUAAUUCACCAUACUAACAAAUUAAGGUGGUAUGGCAGGCAAAAUAAUGGCUCCCAAAAAUUGACUUCCUGGGCUGGGGAUGUGGCUCAAGUGGUAGCGUGUUCACCUAGCACGUGUGAGGCACUGGGUUCAAUUCUCAGCACCACAUAAAAAUAAAAUAAAGAUAUGUGUCCACCUAAAACUAAAAAAAUAUUUAAAAAAUUGACUUCCUGGUGCUGGGAUUGUGACUCAGUAGUAGAGCACUUGCCUAGUAAGUGUGAGGCACUGGGUUUGAUCCUCAGCACCAUGUGAAAAAUAAGUAAAUAGAAUAAAGUCACCAUGUCCAAAUACAAAAAAAAAAAAAAAAAUUUAGAAAAAAAUUGACUUCCUAUUGCUUGGAACCUGUGAUUAUGUGCCAAAAAAAUUGGAUAUGGGAUGGAGACAUUGUCCUGGAUUAUCAGGGUGGACCCAAUCUAAUCACUAAUCCUCUGCCUUCCUCUUCCAAAUCACUAAUCCUCUGCCUUCCUCUUCCAAAACCUCUGCCUUCCUCUUCCAAUAAAAUUGGAAGAGGAAGGCAGAGGAUUAGUCUGAGAGACAAGUAUGACAAGGACUUAACCUGCCUGUUCCUGACAGAAAAUGGAAGGAGGAGACUCUGAGCCAAGGAAUGUGGCAGCCUCUUCAAGAUGAGAAUGACACUGUUUAUAACCAGCACAAAAAGGAGGACUGCAAACAGGGCACCAUGGCAUACACUAUAAUUCCAGUGACUCAGGAAGCUGAAGUAGGAAGAUUGCAAGUUUGAGGCCUGCCUUAGCAACUUAGCAAGACCCCAUUUCAAAAUAAAUAAAAAGGGCUGUGGAGGUAUUUCAUUGGUAGCACACCCCUGGGUUCAAUCUCCAGUACAUAUGUAUGUAUGUAUAUAUAUAUAUAUAUAUGUAUAAAUAUUCUUAAUUUUAAGAAAAGAGAAAAAAAAAAAAAAAACCUCAACAAAUCUUACCUUGCCAGGCACAGUGGCUAACACUGUAAUCCCAGUGGCUAGGGAGGCUGAGGCAGGAGGAUCUUGAGUUCAAGAUCAGCCUCAGCAAAAGUGAGAAGCUAAAAUAGGGUUGGGGAUAUAGCUCAGUGGUCAAGUACCCCUGAGUAGUUCAAUCCCCGUUACCAAAAAUAUAUAUAUUAGGGCUGGAGAUAUAACUCAGUUGGUAAAAUGCUCACCUCACAUACACAAGGUCCUGGUUUCAAUCCUCAAAAUUAAAAAAAAAAAAAAAUGUAUCUACCACAAACCUAGAAUACACACACCAUGGUGAAA
rnacentral:lncRNA from 1 species